rnacentral:tRNA from 1 species
CCCGUUAGCUCAAUUGGAUAGAGCGUCAGACUUCUAAUCUGAAGGUUGUGGGUUCGAGUCCCAUACGGGAUA